rnacentral:lncRNA from 1 species
GAGACCGAUGCAAGAUUUCCAAGUGCAGUGGAGUCACGCAUGUGAUGUAAAGAAAAUGAAAUGUGCACCUAUGAUUCAUAUAUGACCAAGAGCUGUCAGUACAAAUUCCAAACGAAGCAUCAGGUGGCUUGGGGUGAAGCCCACUUCCAGUUUAUUGCCCGGUGUUUCCCUCUAUUGCUGAAAGAGUUUUACAAACUUUUUUUUUUUUCAUUGGUUAUGCUUAUUCUCAAUGUGUUUUGCACAUUAAGAUAGAAAAUCAACAUUUAAUUUUGGUAUUUAUAUGCGUGCUCAUUAAUG